rnacentral:lncRNA from 1 species
GAAGCAGCUUCGUUCUGCCCCUCACCCUACAGUGAGUCCCACACCCUCUCAGAAUGUCCAGUGAACUGUGCAAUAGCUCCCCUAUAUGAAUCCAGGAACAGAGAGCCAGGAAUCACCUAGAGAUCAAAGGGAGUCUCUAAUGGGAAAGACAAAGUCCAAAAUAAACAAGUAGAAAAUGAACUCAGGUCAAAGAUGCAGGACAAAGGGCAAAAGAAACUUCGGUGGAACCCAGUAUAAUUAAUCAUCAGAGAGCUAUGAGAGCAUAUUGCAAACAUACAAAAAGAACAGGAUGCUAUGGAAAAAGGCACAUCCCUGGGACCAGAAAGAGCUCUGAAAAUUAAAAAGGCAGGAGACAGGAAGUGAGGAAUUCAGCAGGAAUGGAAAAUAAAGUUGACAACAUCUCCCAGAAAAUAGAAUCACAGGUAAAGAGAAGAAAAUUGGAGAAAAGAGAAUAAAAUUACAGAUGCAAUUUAGGAGUUCUAAUAUCUCAUUGGUAGUUUAAGACUGGCAAGGAAACAGACAAGGGAAUCGUGGGAGAAUUCCC